rnacentral:rRNA from 1 species
CAAAGAUUAAGCCAUGCAUGUCUUAGUAUAAUCAAGUCUACCCAGCGAAACUGCGNNUGGCUCAUUAUAUCAGUUAUAGUUUACUUGAUUGUAUCNNCUUACUACUUGGAUAACCGUAGUAAUUCUAGAGCUAAUACAUGCGCGCAAGGCCCGACUUUUCGGAAGGGCAGCAUUUAUUAGAUACAAAGCCGNCGGCGCAUUUAUUUGCGCGUUUGGUGANUCAUGAUAACUUUGCGAACCUGGGCUGUACAGCUACGGUGGAUCAUUCAAAUUUCUGCCCUAUCAUGCUUUCGAUGGUACGGUAGUGGCGUACCAUGGCAGCAACGGGUAACGGGGAAUCAGGGUUUGACUCCGGAGAGGGAGCCUGAGAAACGGCUACCACUUCUAAGGAAGGCAGCAGGCGCGCAAAUUACCCAAUGCUAACGCAGCGAGGUAGUGACAAUAAAUAACAAGUGCGGGCCCUUGUGGUCUGCGCAUUGCAAUGAGAACAAUUUAACGCCUUAACGAGGAUCAAUUGGAGGGCAAGUCUGGUGCCAGCAGCCGCGGUAAUUCCAGCUCCAAUAGUGUAUAUUAAAGUUGCUGCAGUUAAAAAGUUCGUAGUCGGAGUGUGGGAGUUGGCGGGCGUGGCCCGUUGCGGGCGUGGGUGCCUUUAUUGGGGCCUGCGGCUUGCGGCGUGGCUAAGCCGUCCGCCCCCCAGAGAUUCUGGCGGAGGCGGCGUUGUCCUUCGGGGCGGCGCCGCGGCUGCCAGACUUUACCUUGAAAAAAUCAGAGUGUUCAAAGCAGGCAAGCGCUUGAAUGGAUUAGCAUGGAAUAAUGGAAUAGGACCGCUGGUCUUGUUGCGUUGGCUAAAGAGGCCGGAGGUAAUGAUUAACAGGAGCAGUUGGGGGCAUUAGUAUUGGGCGGUUAGGGGUGAAAUCCUUGGAUCCGCCAAGACUACCGGAUGCGAAAGCGUUUGCCCAGCAUGUCUCCAUUGAUCAGGAACGAAAGCCAGGGGAGCAAAGUCGAUUAGAUACCGACGUAGUCUUGUGCUGUAAACGAUGCCGACCGGGGAUUAGGCGGGCGCAAGAGCCUGUCUAGUACUCUGCGAGAAAUCACAAGUGUUUGGGUUCCGGGGGGAGUAUGGUCGCAAGGCUGAAACUUAAAGGAAUUGACGGAAGGGCACCACCAGAAAUGGAGCCUGCGGCUUAAUUUGACUCAACACGGGAAACCUCACCAGGUCCAGACAUAGUGAGGAUUGACAGAUUGAUAGCUCUUUCUUGAUCUAUGGGUGGUGGUGCAUGGCCGUUCUUAGUUCGUGGACUCAUUUGUCUGGUUAAUUCCGAUAACGAACGAGACCUUUGCUGGAUGCUGGGCGCCGCCGCAAUUUCUGCGGCAGGCGCUCUCCUUCCAGGACUGCUGGUUUGAAGCCAGAGGAAGUUGGAGGCAAUAACAGGUCUGUGAUGCCCUUAGAUGUUCUGGGCCGCACGCGCGCUACAAUGGCGAGGCCAGCGAGUUGGGGGCGCCGGGCCUUGGUCCGGUGUUCUCAUUAUCCUAGCCUGAGAAGGCCGGGCAAUCUUUGCAACCCUCGUCGUGCUGGGGAUAGCCCUUUGCAAUUUUCGGGCUUGAACGAGGAAUUUCUAGUAAUCGCCGGUCAUCACCCGGCGAUGAUUACGUCCCUGCCCUUUGUACACACCGCCCGUCGCUACUACCGAUUGAAUGGCUUAGUGAGUCCUUUGGAUUUGCGCUGCUGCGCCCUUACCGGCCGGCGCGCGGAGAAGACUGGCAAAUUGGACAUUUAGAGGAAGUAAAAGUCGUAANA